rnacentral:rRNA from 1 species
UACGUAGGGUGCGAGCGUUUGUCCGGAAUUAUUGGGCGUAAAGAGCUCGUAGGCGGUGUGUCGCGUCGGCCGUGAAAACCUGCAGCUUAACUGUGGGCUUGCGGUCGAUACGGGCAUCACUGGAGUUCGGCAGGGGAGACUGGAAUUCCUGGUGUAGCGGUGAAAUGCGCAGAUAUCAGGAGGAACACCGGUGGCGAAGGCGGGUCUCUGGGCCGAUACUGACGCUGAGGAGCGAAAGCGUGGGGAGCGAACAGG